rnacentral:rRNA from 1 species
GACGUAUGUUCUAGAGUUUGAUCCUGGCUCAGGACGAACGCUGGCGGCGUGCUUAACACAUGCAAGUCGAACGAUGAAGCCUUUGCUUUUGCUUGGGUGGAUUAGUGGCGAACGGGUGAGUAAUACGUGAGUAACCUGCCCUUGUCUUUGGGAUAAGCCUGGGAAACUGGGUCUAAUACCGGAUAUUCUGCUUCUGCCGCAUGGUGGGGGUUGGAAAGAUUUUUUGGUAUGGGGAUGGGCUCACGGCCUAUCAGCUUGUUGGUGGGGUGAUGGCCUACCAAGGCGUCGACGGGUAGCCGGCCUAAGAGGGUGACCGGCCACAUUGGGACUGAGAUACGGCCCAG